GAAAAUGUAUUAUUUGAUGGUCUUGCUACUUGGAUAACCGUAGUAACUCUAGAGCUAAUACAUGCAUCAAUCCCUGACUUCCUGGAAGGGGUGUACUUAUUAGAUGGAAACCAGUGCGGGUUCGCCCGGAUUAUGGUGAUUCAUAAUAAUUUUCGGAUCGAUCAAUUGAUCGAUGCAUCAUUCAAGUUUCUGCCCUAUCAGCUUUGGAUGGUAGGGUAUUGGCCUACCAUGGCAUUAACGGGUAACGGAGAAUUAGGGUUCGAUUCCGGAGAGGGCGCCUGAGAAACGGCGACCAGUUCCAAGGAAGGCAGCAGGCGCGUAAAUUACCCAAUCCUGACACAGGGAGGUAGUGACAAUAAAUAACAAUGUCGGGCCUUCGGGUUUGACAAUUGGAAUGAGAACAAUUUAAAUCCCUUAUCGAGGAUCAAUUGGAGGGCAAGUCUGGUGCCAGCAGCCGCGGUAAUUCCAGCUCCAAUAGCGUAUACUAAAGUUGUUGCAGUUAAAAAGCUCGUAGUUGAAUUUCUGGUUUCGGAGUGCGGUCUGCCCCGUGGGGUAAGUAUCAGCGCUCGGGAGCCAUCCUCGAGGAGAACAUGCCUGUGAUUGAGUUCAUGGGUAUGGGAGCCUCGUCUUUUACUGUGAGCAAACUAGAGUGUUCAAAGCAGGCUUACGCCGUUGAAUACAUUAGCAUGGAAUAAUAAAAUAGGACUCUGGUCUAUUUUGUUGGUUAGUACUCCAGGGUAAUGAUUAAUAGGGACAGUUGGGGGGUAUUCGUAUUCAAUUGUCAGAGGUGAAAUUCUUGGAUUUAUGGAAGACGAACUACUGCGAAAGCAUUUACCAAGGAUGUUUUCAUUAAUCAAGAACGAAAGUUAGGGGAUCGAAGAUGAUUAGAUACCAUCGUAGUCUUAAACCAUAAACUAUGCCGACUAGGGAUUGGUGGUUGUUUAUUUGACUCCAUCAGCACCUUUAUGAGAAAUCAAAGUCUUUGGGUUCCGGGGGGGAGUAUGGUCGCAAGGCUGAAAACUUAAAGAACUGACGGAAGGGCACCACCAGGAGUGGAGCUGCGGCUUAUUUUGACUCAACACGGGGAACUUACCAAGUUCCAGACAAUAGUGAGGAUUGACAGAUUUGAGAAAGCUCUCUUUUCUUGA
rnacentral:rRNA from 1 species